GGUGAUGAACUCUGAAGCUACAUGAAGUUUGGAGGUGUGUAGUGAAGAACUCUGAAGCUACAUGAAGUUUGGAGGUGUGUAGUGAUGAACUCUGAAGCUACAUGAAGUUUGGAGGUGUGUAGUGAUGAACUCUGAAGCUACAUGAAGUUUGGAGGUGUGUAGUGAUGAACUCUGAAGCUACAUGAAGUUUGGAGGUGUGUAGUGAUGAACUCUGAAACUACAUGAAGUUUGGAGGUGUGUAGUGAUGAACUCUGAAGCUACAUGAAGUUUGGAGGUGUGUAGUGAUGAACUCUGAAGCUACAUGAAGUUUGGAGGUGUGUAGUGAUGAAC